rnacentral:rRNA from 1 species
AUUGAACGCUGGCGGAAUGCUUUACACAUGCAAGUCGAGCGGCAGCGCGGGGCAACCUGGCGGCGAGCGGCGAACGGGUGAGUAAUGCAUCGGAACAUGUCCAUGUCGUGGGGGAUAGCCCGGCGAAAGCCGGAUUAAUACCGCAUACGCCCGAGAGGGGAAAGUGGGGGACCGCAAGGCCUCACGCGAUUGGGUUGGCCGAUGUCCGAUUAGCUAGUUGGUGGGGUAAAGGCUUACCAAGGCGAUGAUCGGUAGCUGGUCUGAGAGGAUGAUCAGCCACACUGGGACUGAGACACGGCCCAGACUCCUACGGGAGGCAGCAGUGGGGAAUUUUGGACAAUGGGGGCAACCCUGAUCCAGCCAUUCCGCGUGAGUGAAGAAGGCCUUCGGGUUGUAAAGCUCUUUUGUCCGGAACGAAACGGUGAACGUGAAUAUCGUUCGCUACUGACG